rnacentral:lncRNA from 1 species
UUUCGCACGAGCCUACGAUAGUAAAUACAAACUUGUUAAUGUCUUAAUAGUUUGUAUUUGGUCCACCAAUUGGAACCGAAAUUUAAAAAUUCCAAUCACCAGUUCACAUGUAUUUUGACAUGUAAAUAAGACAUUGGUAAUGUACAUAUACGAGAAUUUAAAUAAUAUUUAAAAUGGCACUGGAACUAAUUUUUGGACUUGGUGUUUUUUCUCUAGUAUUUUAUCAAAAUGCGGAUAAUAUACCUAAAUUUCUGAUAGGAUUAUUAAUUGUGGUAUUAAUAUUCAUUGUGGCUCAACAGCAGGACCAAAUACAUAUAAUCAAGGAUGAACUAGCUAAAGUUAGUGCUCUAUGUGAAAACAAUACGGAGGAGUUGAAAAAUGUUAUAUCAAAAAUGAAGACCAUGUUGCAAAAUUGACAUAAACUUCACGAAGGAUUAGACGAAACUGUAUAGGGAGAUGUGCAAGGUUCAUUUCACAUUAUACAUUUUUUACCCAACUGCAUUUUUACUCCAAUCAUCAAAGAUUUAGUAUGGCAUGACUAUUCUUAUUCAAAUCGUAUAAACCUGAAUUUCGAUCAAGGAUUUGUCCAUUAUGUAGACUCCACAGAAAUAAAAUGAAUGGAUUUAAUUCACAAUUCAUAAAGUUGCAUUCAACAAUGGAUAUUUGAGACUAUAAUUUAGUCAAGAUUUUAGAUCAAUGUCAUAUAGUCAUUUUUAGUAUUCCAUUUUUAAAUUAGUUAUUGUACAGGGUAAAAAUAUAGUUAAAAAAUGUUUCUAAUUCAUAAUCAGAUAACAGAAUUAGGCUAUAUAUGCAACAUUAUGUGAAUCUAUUCAAUGUUAUGAGGGCAUUUAUUAAAAUUACAAUGCAAACUAUUAAAUAUGUAAAAAGAAUUCAGACUCUAUUUUAAUUAUGCAGUGUAAUAUUGAAGAACAAUUAAUGUAUUGAAAAGGGAGGUAAGCUUAAAACUAAUGGGACAAUAAAAAUCAGUUGAACAAAGUGGAUGACACCUCCGGGUGCGAGAAUUUCUCGUUGCAUUGAAGACCUGAUGGUGACCUUCUGCUGUUGUCUGCUCUAUGGUCGGGUUGUUGUCUCUUUGGCACAUUCCCCAUUUCCAUUCUCAAUUUUAUUUCAAUAUUCAUGAUUAUAUUGAUUACUUUAUUCUACAUAAGUGUUAGGGUUGGGGGACCUGACCUUCCCCCUCUUUUUGCCUUAUGUAGCUUCAUGUUUGCUAAAGGCCUAAAUAUAUUACAUUUUUUUUGUACUAUCAUUGCUACAAACUAAAGAAGAAAUAGUUUGACUAUAUCAUAGGUAAAUGUGUUUUAUGAUGGACUUUUCUAAGGAGUUCUGAGGGCUGAGCCAUUGCAUUCAUGAAUUUCGCUAAUUAAAUUGUCAUGAUUUCAGGAUACAAUUACAUCAUAAUGCAAUGAACAGAGGCAUUUUUUACACCUAUAUUAUGGAUUUUACAAUAAAUAAUUUAAAUAUAUUUG